CUCAGAGGAAACUAAAUUGCAAUAGUUAGGAGAGGUGCACCAGCGGUUUGCUGAGCAUAUUGUGGCAGGUUAUGCUUGCCAAGUAAAUUUCUCACCAGAUGGACGUUUUGUUAUGUCAGGAGACGGUGAGGGUAAGUGCUGGUUUUGGGACUGGAAGAGUUGUAAAGUUUUCAGGACAAGUGUCAUGAGGGUGUGUGCAUUGGGUGCGAGUGGCAUCCAUUGGAGCAAAGCAAAGUGGCAACUUGCGGCUGGGAUGGCUUGAUUAAGUACUGGGAAAAUUUAAAUGCAGUACACAAGGUUUUCGCCUUCACCGUAGCAAGUUUAAUUGGUCUCAUUCAAAUCAAGCCUUUAGUUGAUACAGACAAACACUUUAUAUUCACAAUCUUUCUUGUUGGUCUAUUCACAUAUGGCUUUGGAACUAUCUUUCAAGCUUGGAGCUCCUUCAAUUCAAUUGUUAGCAAAGUUGGCCUAUUUGCUGUUGGAUCGGCCAUAGUUGCACUUGCCUUUCUCCUUGUCCCAAUUUUUGGUUGGAUUAUUUUAAUCUUAUGGGCCUCCUUGUUCGUUAAAGUAAUAUAUAAUUCAAGGAAAGAAAUCUAUUGUUUAAUCAGUAAACUACGAGAGAAAUUCAAUAAGAGAAUUGAAAUUAUAAGACGUUAUAUUAUAGAAGUUGAAAUCAUAAGACGUUAUAUUAUAGAAGAGCACGAUAAUUUACCUGUGUAAUUCUUUUUCGAAAUAAUGUAGCUCUCUAGUUAUAUAUCGAUUGAAAAUUGCUAUUU